rnacentral:rRNA from 1 species
UACGGAGGGUGCGAGCGUUAUCCGGAAUUACUGGGUUUAAAGGGUGCGUAGGCGGCCAUGUAAGUCAGGAGUGAAAGUUUGCGGCUCAACCGUAAAAUUGCUUUUGAUACUGCAUGGCUGGAAUCAGGAUGAGGUCAGCGGAAUGUGGCAUGUAGCGGUGAAAUGCUUAGAUAUGACAUAGAACACCGAUUGCGAAGGCAGCUCACUACACGAAUAUUGACUCUGAGGCACGAAAGCGUGGGGAUCAAACAGG